AUUGAACGCUGGCGGUAGGCCUUACACAUACAAGUCGAACGGUAACAGGUCUUCGGAUGCUGACGAGUGGCGAACGGGUGAGUAAUACAUCGGAACGUGCCUAGUAGUGGGGGAUAACUACUCGAAAGAGUGGCUAAUACCGCAUGAGAUCUACGGAUGAAAGCGGGGGAUCGCAAGACCUUGUGCUACUAGAGCGGCCGAUGGCAGAUUAGGUAGUUGGUGGGAUAAAAGCUUACCAAGCCGACGAUCUGUAGCUGGUCUGAGAGGACGAUCAGCCACACUGGGACUGAGACACGGCCCAGACUCCUACGGGAGGCAGCAGUGGGGAAUUUUGGACAAUGGGCGCAAGCCUGAUCCAGCAAUGCCGCGUGCAGGAUGAAGGCCUUCGGGUUGUAAACUGCUUUUGUACGGAACGAAAAGCCCUGGGUUAAUACCCUGGGGUCAUGACGGUACCGUAAGAAUAAGCACCGGCUAACUACGUGCCAGCAGCCGCAGUAAUAC
rnacentral:rRNA from 1 species